ensembl:antisense Gm15883 predicted gene 15883
AGAGGAAGAAGGAUUCAGAGGCCAGACAGACAGUCGCAUGUGUUGUGGGCAGGGCCAAUAGUACUCAGCUACCUGUGCCAUCUUUGUGAGGAAGCAGUCGAUGAAGUCCCGGGGAGAGUUGGGGUCCAGGGAAUCCUGGUGUUCGCGGACGCUGCGGGCAAUGAGAUCUUUCAUGCCUCCAAAGUUCCGGAACAAGCGUUUGUGUGGCCCAGGAACUUGAUGUACUGUGAAGACUGGCCAUGAACUCAUGAUCCUCUUGUCUCAACCUUCUGAGUGCUAAUGAAUUUUUUAGAGAGAUGAGCAUACCCAAGGGUCUUGGAACUGUAGAAAACUGUGAUUUUGUAGAAAACUGUGAUUUUGUUUGAACUUUGUAUUGCUGACAUAGAACUGAGGUCUUAUGCACACUAGGCAAGAACUUUGCCACUGAGCCACACCCCCAGCCCCUCACUGGAGGAUUCUAGCCAGGGGCUCUACCACUGAGCCACACCCCAGCCCCUCACUGGGGGAUUCUAGGCAGGGGCUCUCCCACUGAGCCACACCCCCAGCCCCUCACUGGGGGAUUCUAGGCAGAGGCUCUACUAUUGAACUAUGCCCCCAACCACCUCCUGUGGGAUUCUAGGAAGGUGUUCUACCUUCUUAAUUAUAAAUCCCAUAAGAAAUAAAAUGAUCAACCCCCAAAGAUAUUUAGUUUUAAUUAUGUGUGUGCACAUACAUGUGUGUGGAUGCCCGGAGGCCAGAGGGUGUUGGAUCCUCUGAAGGUGGAGUUAUAGGAAGUUGUGAACUACGACGUGAGUUCUGGGAACUGAACUGAAAUCCUCUGCAGGAGCAAGAAGUGCUCUUAAUCACAGAGCCAUCUCUCUAGUCCUCUUUCCCCUCGCCCCCUGACAUUUUUUAUUUUUGAAACAAGGCCUCAUGUAGCAUAGGCUGGUUUCAAACUCACUAUUUAUCCAAGAAUGAUCUUGAAGUCUUGGCCCUCCUGCCUCCACCUCCUGAAUUCUGGAAUUACAGCACCUCCAGCAGGAAGCUGCCUUCUUCCAGGAUCCGCUCCUCGAUGCUUCUUUUUCCCAUGCCAAAGUUCCGCAGGAUUUGGACAGAGAACCUUCUGAGGAUCUUCCAGCGCUCUCCAUCGGAGAAGGCGAUGCCUGGGAAGAGGAAAAGGAACGGCAAAUCCAACUGGCAACCAUUCCCAAAUCACAGCCACCGAGUCAUCUCUUCCUGCUCCAUCAGGAGGGGGAUUCUAAACUGACUCCGCAGUUCUUCCAGCAAAUCCUUCCCGACUCUUGGGACUGGACCAGGAGCCUGCUUUGGGCUCCACAGGACUCUGGGCUUUCCACUGAUCAUGCUGACUCUGUAUUCCCUUGUAACGACCUGUCACUUUGAGGUGUCAGAAGGCAGAGUAAAGACACAUUUUGUGUCAAAAUGACCUUUGAAUUGUCAUCAGACUUUGUUGAUUGUUUAUUGAUUAUUGAGUGCACAAAUAAGAUAUGUAAAUAAGAAAAAUAAAUAUUGGGACAC